rnacentral:rRNA from 1 species
GUGGGGAAUUUUGGACAAUGGGCGCAAGCCUGAUCCAGCAAUGCCGCGUGCAGGAUGAAGGCCUUCGGGUUGUAAACUGCUUUUGUACGGAACGAAAAGCCCUGGGUUAAUACCCUGGGGUCAUGACGGUACCGUAAGAAUAAGCACCGGCUAACUACGUGCCAGCAGCCGCGGUAAUACGUAGGGUGCGAGCGUUAAUCGGAAUUACUGGGCGUAAAGCGUGCGCAGGCGGUUUUGUAAGACAGAGGUGAAAUCCCCGGGCUCAACCUGGGAACUGCCUUUGUGACUGCAAGGCUGGAGUGCGGCAGAGGGGGAUGGAAUUCCGCGUGUAGCAGUGAAAUGCGUAGAUAUGCGGAGGAACACCGAUGGCGAAGGCAAUCCCCUGGGCCUGCACUGACGCUCAUGCACGAAAGCGUGGGGAGCAAACAGGAUUAGAAACCCGAGUAGUCC